CUUGAAUUCCUGACCUCAAGUGAUCCACCCAUCUCAGCCUCCCAAAGUGCUGGGAUUACAGGCGUGAGUCACCGUGCGCAGCCACAAAUUGAUUUCUAAAAUAUGUGUAGAUUGGUGUUCCUUCAGGCUAGUGUGAUAGGUCCUCAAUCUUAAAGCUUCAGGAAUCAUCAGUAUAGAAGCCUCAGCUUUUGAGUGAGUCUUCACAUAGGCUGUUUUCUUUUCUCUAGGCUCUGUGAUCCUCUACCUUAUGAUAUAAUAGUCGAUCCAAUGUGUGGAACUGGGGCAAUACCAAUAGAGGGGGCCACUGAAUGGUCUGACUGUUUCCAUAUUGCUGGUGAUAAUAAUCCACUGGCUGUGAAUAGAGCAGCAAAUAACAUUGCAUCUUUAUUGACCAAGAGCCAAAUUAAAGAAGGCAAACCCUCCUGGGGCUUGCCCAUAGAUGCUGUUCAGUGGGAUAUCUGCAAUCUGCCAUUGAGAACUGGCUCUGUGGAUAUUAUUGUAACAGAUUUGCCAUUUGGAAAAAGGUGAGAAUUGGUUGGGUUUUUUUUUAAUGAAUUUUACUUUCACUUGUUAUACUAGUACCUGCUUGUCUUCCAAAUGUGUCAUUAUUUUCC
rnacentral:lncRNA from 1 species